GGACAGUGUGCUCCUGCUUAAAGGCGUUAACCCGGGAGGUGACAGGUUCCGGCGGUCCUUCUGCGGCGGCGCCCCAGGGAGGAGUGGAGUUCCGCCGCCGUGGAAUUCAAGCGGCGGCGGGGCCCCAACCUUUCUUCUGACUUGGGGCAUCUGCGGGGUCGCCGCCCUCCAUCGUCGCGCACACUAGAGGGCGGCGCUCUGGGCAGAGCCCUGGGCUGAGCGUCUUCAUCAAUGUUUGGGACGUCCCGGUACAGAGGCCCUCACCUUCCAACUGUGAAGCGAGGAAUCUGAGCUCCGAAGUGUUCAGAAUGCCCUCUCCCGGGGCUGCGUCCUCUGCACUCUGCCCAUCAACUCCCGCGCAGGGCCGGCGGAGGGGUCUGCCCGCCUCUCGCCUCUCGGUGCAGGGAGCCCACCGGGCGCACCUGCCCUCUCCUGAGCCCCCAACGCCGAGGUACGAAUAGUCACCGCGUGCAGGCUGCUCUGCUGCCUGCAGGGUGAUGGCCCAGACAGGACUGGGAGUGGAUCUCUGUGCCCAGGAGGCCUCAUCGCCUUGGGUCAGGUGUCCUGGAGCAGGAGACGGUGACCACCAAAGGUGACCAAGCCAGCUCAGGAUGAAGAAGAGUAUCUGCAUCCACCUGCUGCCUGGCCCCAAGCACAGCCCGUUUCAUCUCUGUUGAUACACCCCAUCACCGCUCCCAUAGUUCUCACAGGCAGCCAUCCUCUUCUCACCACGCCUACCCCAGUCCGGCCUCCCUGCGGGCCUUUUCCAAACCUCUCUGAAGCAGAAAGGACUUCGAAACCCCCAGCGCUGACCCGUCAUUCCCCAAGUCGAGACGCAGAGCUGGCUCCCCAUUGCCCUGAGUUCCAACUCCAUCUCUGCCCCGGGGCAUUUGCCAGACAGGCCGCCCACCCCCGCUGUAGCCUAGCACCACCCCCAAACGGUGCAACCAGCUUCCAGCCCCCAGUCGAAAGGACUUCCUGACCCUGGAACUCAAAAGUCAAACCAGGUUCCCAGGUAAAAUGGUCUUGCAUUCCCACCGCUCUCUGCCCCACCCAGGCUGAGCCUUCUAGUGAAAAGAAGCUCUUACAACUCUGUUGAGUAUGUUUGCACAUCGCUAGUCAUAGCUAACCUCCCGAAACAAAGCAACAUGGCAGGUAAAGCAAUUUAACAAAAGCAGAUGCUUUU